rnacentral:rRNA from 1 species
GACGAACGCUGGCGGCGUGCUUAACACAUGCAAGUCGUACGGUAAGGCCCUUUCGGGGGUACACGAGUGGCGAACGGGUGAGUAACACGUGAGUAACCUGCCCACAACUUUGGGAUAACGCUAGGAAACUGGUGCUAAUACUGGAUAUGUGCUCCUGCUGCAUGGUGGGGGUUGGAAAGCUCCGGCGGUUGUGGAUGGACUCGCGGCCUAUCAGCUUGUUGGUGGGGUAGUGGCCUACCAAGGCGGCGACGGGUAGCCGGCCUGAGAGGGUGACCGGCCACAUUGGGACUGAGAUACGGCCCAGACUCCUACGGGGGGGAGCAGGGGGGAAUAUUGCACAAUGGGCGCGAGCCUGAUGCAGCAACGCCGCGGGCGGGAAGACGGCCUUCGGGUUGUAAACCGCUUUCAGCAGGGACGAAGCUUUUUGUGACGGUACCUGCAGAAGAAGCACCGGCUAACUACGUG